GACGGAAGGUGCAAGCGUUGCUCGGAAUCACUGGGCGUAAAGGGUGCGUAGGCGGCUUGGUAAGUUGGGUGUGAAAGCCCCGGGCUCAGCCCGGGAAGGGCACUCGAAACUGCCGAGCUGGAGUGCCGGAGGGGAGAGUGGAAUUCCUGGUGUAGCGGUGAAAUGCGCAGAUAUCAGGAGGAACACCGAUGGCGAAGGCAGCUCGCUGGGACGGUACUGACGCUGAGGCGCGAAAGCGUGGGGAGCAAACAGG
rnacentral:rRNA from 1 species